rnacentral:rRNA from 1 species
AGAAUCAACGCUGGCGGCGUGCCUAACACAUGCAAGUCGAACGCGAGGACCCCGCAAGGGGUUAGUAGAGUGGCGAACGGGUGAGUAACACGUGGGUGACCUACCUUCGAAUGGGGGGAUAACGUCCCGAAAGGGACGCUAAUACCGCAUAACAUCCUGCCUUUGAACAGGUGGAGAUCAAAGCCGGGGAUCGCAAGACCUGGCGUUUGAAGAGGGGCCCGCGUCUGAUUAGCUAGUUGGUGAGGUAACGGCCCACCAAGGCUACGAUCAGUA